UACGUAGGGUGCAAGCGUUGUCCGGAUUUAUUGGGCGUAAAGAGCUCGUAGGCGGUUUGUCGCGUCGGAUGUGAAAACCCAGGGCUCAACCCUGGGCCUGCAUUCGAUACGGGCAAACUAGAGUAUGGCAGGGGAGACUGGAAUUCCUGGUGUAGCGGUGAAAUGCGCAGAUAUCAGGAGAAACACCGGUGGCGAAGGCGGGUCUCUGGGCCAAAACUGACGCUGAGGAGCGAAAGCGUGGGGAGCGAACAGG
rnacentral:rRNA from 1 species